rnacentral:rRNA from 1 species
ACUCAAAGGAAUAGACGGGGGCCCGCACAAGCGGUGGAGCAUGUGGUUUAAUUCGAUGAUACGCGAGGAACCUUACCAAGACUUAAAUGGGAAAUGACAGGUUUAGAAAUAGAUCCUUCUUCGGACAUUUUUCAAGGUGCUGCAUGGUUGUCGUCAGCUCGUGCCGUGAGGUGUUAGGUUAAGUCCUGCAACGAGCGCAACCCCUGUCACUAGUUGCUAACAUUCAGUUGAGGACUCUAGUGAGACUGCCUACGCAAGUAGAGAGGAAGGUGGGGAUGACGUCAAAUCAUCACGGCCCUUACGUCUUGGGCCACACACGUGCUACAAUGGCCAGUACAGAGGGCAGCUACCAGGUGACUGGAUGCGAAUCUCGAAAGCUGGUCUCAGUUCGGAUUGGAGUCUGCAACUCGACUCUAUGAAGCUGGAAUCGCUAGUAAUCGCGCAUCAGCCAUGGCGCGGUGAAUACGUUCCCGGGCCUUGUACACACCGCCCGU